rnacentral:tRNA from 1 species
AAUGAAAUGCCUGAAAAAAAGGGUUAUCUUGAUAGGAUAAAUUAUGUAAUAUUUUACUUUCAUUA